rnacentral:lncRNA from 1 species
GCCUUAUGGAAAUGGUUAUUGUUAAUCCAAGUCUUUUCACUGAGUUUUAUUAAAAACAAGAAAACCACGUAGUUUUUAAAUCUCUGUGGGUAUUGAAAUAGACAUAUGGAGAUAAUAAAUAUUAUUCACGUUUCUUAUCUAAUGUUAGUUAUUUCCUAGAUAUUGAUGUGUUCUUACAUAUAAAUGGAUGAAGUUUUAAUCACAGGCAAUAGUUUAAAAGGAGGCAAAUGUGGCUCAGUAAGAAAGAAGAAUAAUGACUCAUCUGUAUGUAUACCACUAAUUCUCUCUUCCUAGUUUAGAUAUGAACAUGUAGACAGGUACAUGAAGAUCAUUUCUAUUCUGGGUUCUUUCUAUUCUGGAUUUCUGUCAUUUUCUUUGUGUGUUUGUAUAUUUGAACAUAUGAUCACAUAUUCCAUGAAUAGUUCCAUACCUGAAUAAAUACAACAGUGAACAGUUGAAUUAAUGUGAGUAGGGUCAAACAUCAGAGAAGGCGGUGGCACCCCACUCCAGUACUCCUGCCUGGAAAAUCCCAUGGACGGGGGAGCCUGGUGGGCUGCCAUCUAUGGGGUUGCACAGAGUCGGACACGACUGAAGUGACUUAGCAGCAGCAGCAGCAGCAGCAGCAGGGUCAAGCAUAGACUUUGAAUGAAGACUGUGGCUGCUUCAAUCAAUCUUCUCUGAGGAAGAUCUUGGCUGUUACCUUUGUGGAACGGAUGCUCAAUGAUUCAAUUAAGGACUGUAGAAACUUUUGAGCUCUAGAAUGGAUGCCUAUUAGCAGAUUUCAGCAUCUCCCAUGGUCAUGUGCUCUGCAGACUAAGAACGGACCAGUGGGGCUGGCUGGAAAGCUCUUCCACGGACGCGCUCUCUGGUUGCCUCCAUGCUUUCGGUGUAUAGAGGCCCACAAAGAGAACCCGGAAGUUCAUGGUGGCCUCACUGUAGCAGCCUUAAGCCCACUAAUCAAUGCACUCAAGCGGAUGCAUGCGUUUUCCAUGACUUCCUUUGUGUGUUGAGAGCCUAGAGAAGAACAAUGGACGCACAGCAGUGGGUUUAAGGAUCUUCCGUGGUCUUGGGCUCUACAGACUGAUAAUGGAUGCACCUGAAUUUAUUAAGCAUUCGACUGUGAUCAGGGCCUCUGCUGGUUUUCCUGUGUAUAAAUACAUGUGGGUCAUAAUGGAUCCUACAAGCUGAUUUCAGCUUCUGCUCUGAUUGAGAUCAUCAUGUUGCCUCUGUCAGGAGGGCGACAAAGGUUUUCCCUAAAGAUUCCUUAGUUGAUAGCAGUGUAAGCUAUUUUCAUCAUGAGGAAGAGCACACUGGAGAUAAUGAACUGAACUAAUGUAGCCCUUCUGCCAUGGCAGUGAAUGCUGUAUUAGGAGCAAAGAGACAAAUGGUGGGUUCUCAAUGCUGUUCAAGUUUCAACCAUGAUUCCUGUGAUCAAAAAAUUUAUGGCUGCAUCUAUGUGUAGGAACCAGUAACAGAUACUGGAGUGGACUUCAGCUUCUGCCACAGUGAAGAUUAUCAUAAUGACUCUGUCAGGAAAGAGACCAAGACUGGACAUACUUGAGAUGAUUUAACCAUCUUCCAUGAUCCCAAGCCCUUUGGUUGCCUCUAUACAUUCAUUAGAAGUAUGGAGGCCAGUUACUCCGCAGAAUGGAUGCCCUUGAGCUGACUUAAGCAUCUUCCACGGUCU